UCAGCCUGGCAAGCAACGGCUCUUCAUCAAAGAUCCACUGUUCAAUUUAGAAGUUUUCAGUUGGACUUGUUGAAUACAGUAAUCGUUUGAUUUGCUUUGCAGGUCUCAAGCCUUAUGCACUCAACAGAAUGGAGGACACUUGAUGCAGUGUGGAAGAUGUUUAGAGGACACACUUUGGUCCAUCAGAGAUGCACCCUUUUUAUUUGGUAGACACUGUGACUGCAACGAUCUACCAAAGAAAGUCUUGGGUUUCAUUCAUGCAAGAAAUAGUAAAUAAUGUGAACUACAGGUAAUGACAUCAAGAAGCACCGAGUCAAACCAAACAAGUCUUUUAGAAAGAUGCAAGUGAGAGCUUCAUUCUUCAUCAUGCCCUUUCUGUGAGGGGGAGAGAGAAGAGAA